UAACUUCAGGAAACUGGGGCUAAUACCGGAUAGGAGCUCCUGCUGCAUGGUGGGGGUUGGAAAGUUUCGGCGGUUGGGGAUGGACUCGCGGCUUAUCAGCUUGUUGGUGGGGUAGUGGCUUACCAAGGCUUUGACGGGUAGCCGGCCUGAGAGGGUGACCGGCCACAUUGGGACUGAGAUACGGCCCAG
rnacentral:rRNA from 1 species